UAGUACGGCGAGUGAAGAGGGAAGAGCCCAAGAUUGAAAGCUGGCGUCUUCGGCGUCCGCAUUGUAAUCUCAAGAAGUGUUUUCCGCUUCGGACCAUGCCUAAGUCCCUUGGAAAAGGGCAUCAUAGAGGGUGAUAAUCCCGUACAUGGCAUGGAGCGCCCGAAGCUUUGUGAUACGCUUUCUAAGAGUCGAGUUGUUUGGGAAUGCAGCUCAAAAUGGGUGGUAAAUGCCAUCUAAGGCUAAAUAUUGGGGAGAGACCGAUAGCGAACAAGUACAGUGAUGGAAAGAUGAAAAGAACUUUGAAAAGAGAGUUAAACAGUACGUGAAAUUGCCAAAAGGGAAGGGUAGGAGGUCAGAGAUGCGGCCUGGGAUUCAGCCUUGCUUUUGCUUGGUGUUUUUCCCAGAUUGCAGGCCAACGUCGGUUUUGGGCACUGGAGAAGGGUAGGAGGAACGUGGCACCUCUCGGGGUGUGUUAUAGCCUCCUACUGGAUACAGCGACCGAGACCGAGGACAGCAGCGUACUCGCAAGAGCGGGCCUUCGGGCACCUUUACGCUUAGGGCGUUGGCAUAAUGGCCCUCUACCACCCGUCUUGA
rnacentral:rRNA from 1 species